rnacentral:lncRNA from 1 species
GUCCCCCCAGAGCUGGGAUUUGCUCCGUUGUUUUCCCGGAGCCCCUUUGGGGUGUCCCCCCGAUCCCGUGGACUCUGGGAAUGUUCCUUCCCAGCUUCCUGGAUCCUCCCAAACCCCCUGGGCCAUCCCAAUCCAGAGGGAAGGGGGCCGGAGCCGUCGGGAGGGAUUUCCCGGGCUCCGCAGGCUCUGGCUUGGGAACUCAUCCCAGUUUUCUCCAUCCCAGCCACGGACAUCCCCGAGCUCCAGGAGGCCCUGGAGAACGAGCCGGAAGAGGAUCCGAUUCAUCCCAAAACCCAGAGCGUCUCCCCUGGCCUCGAGGAGAUCCACCUGGAGCAGCCUCUCCCGCACCCCUGGAACAAGCGGCCGGCUCCCUGCACGGAGAGGGGCAGCCAGAUGUCUCCCAAAAUCCUGAAGCUGGAAUGCGACCAAGAGCCGGGCCCCAGCCAUCCCAAAUCCCGCUGGGAAUUCCGGAUGGAGCCCGGCCCCUCCACGUCGUGGCACAACCACGUCAGGGCCGGUGACCCAGGUGGGGACCGGGAACAGCACCGGACUUGUUAUCCCGUUUUUCCCGGGAUCCAUGGGAUUGCUCCCAGCCUUCCUGAGCCCCCAUUGCAUGGGAACUUUGGCCAAGGAUGGGGAUGCGAGUGAUCUGUGGGGUGGGGGAUCCAUGGGAUGAGGGAUCCAUGGAGUGAGGGAUCCAUGGAAUUCAGGAUCCAUGGGGAUGAGGGAU